rnacentral:rRNA from 1 species
AUUGAACGCUGGCGGCAGGCUUAACACAUGCAAGUCGAGCGGGGGAGGUUGCUUCGGUAACUGACCUAGCGGCGGACGGGUGAGUAAUGCUUAGGAAUCUGCCUAUUAGUGGGGGACAACAUCUCGAAAGGGAUGCUAAUACCGCAUACGUCCUACGGGAGAAAGCAGGGGACCUUCGGGCCUUGCGCUAAUAGAUGAGCCUAAGUCGGAUUAGCUAGUUGGCGGGGUAAAGGCCUACCAAGGCGACGAUCUGUAGCGGGUCUGAGAGGAUGGUCCGCCAGACUGGGACUGAGACACGGCCCAGACUCCUACGGGAGGAAGCAGUGGGGAAUAUUGGACAAUGGGGGGAACUCUGAUCCAGCCAUGCCGCGUGUGUGAAGAAGGCCUUUUGGUUGUAAAGCACUUUAAGCGAGGAGGAGGCUACUGGUAUUAAUACUACCGGAUAGUGGACGUUACUCGCAGAAUAAGCACCGGCUAACUCUGUGCCAGCCGCCGCAGUAACAC